rnacentral:rRNA from 1 species
AACGUAGGUGGCGAGCGUUAUCCGGAUUUACUGGGCGUAAAGCGUGUGCAGGCGGCUUACCAAGUGGUGUAUGAAAUAUCCAGGCUCAACCUGGAGGGGUUAUGCCAGACUGGUAGGCUUGAGUGCGAGAGAGGGGCGUGGAAUUCCGGGUGUAGUGGUGAAAUGCGUAGAGAUCCGGAGGAACCCCAGAGGCGAAGGCGGCGCCCUGGCUCGACACUGACGCUCAGACACGACAGCAUGGGGAGCGAACGGG